rnacentral:ribozyme from 1 species
GACAGGAAAGAAGUGUCAACCGGGUGGAAUCCGAAUCCUCUUGCAGGCUAACAGACUCUCUCAACUCCUAUUUAGACACGUCCUCGUCGUACAGAGUGACAGCACACAUCAACAAUUAUUCUAAGUUUGGCUGUACGGCAUUGUCCCAUUCCACUGGGUGAAUGGUAAUGAAAAAGUAAUGU